AUAUUGCACAAUGGGGGGAACCCUGAUGCAGCAACGCCGCGUGAAUGAUGAAGGCCUUCGGGUCGUAAAGUUCUUUGAUGGGGGACGAUAAUGACGGUACCCCAAAAACAAGCCACGGCUAACUACGUUCCAGCAGCCGCGGUAAAUACGUAGGUGGCGAGCGUUGUCCGGAUUUACUGGGCGUAAAGGAUGCGUAGGUGGAAAUUUAAGUGGGAUGUGAAAUCCCCGGGCUCAACCCGGGAACUGCAUUCCAAACUGGAUUUCUAGAGUGCAGGAGAGGAAAGCGGAAUUCCUAGUGUAGCGGUGAAAUGCGUAGAUAUUAGGAAGAACACCAGUGGCGAAGGCGGCUUUCUGGACUGUAACUGACACUGAGGCAUGAAAGCGUGGGGAGCAAACAGG
rnacentral:rRNA from 1 species